AUCUGUUGAUCCUGCCAGUAGUCAUAUGCUUGUGUUAAAGAUUAAGCCAUGCAUGUCUAAGUAUAAGCCUUUUAUACGGUGAAACUGCGAAUGGCUCAUUAAAUCAGUUAUUGUUUAUUUGGUGGUAAAACUACUUGGAUAACCCUGUUAAUUGUAGAGCUAAUACAUGCACGAACUCCUGACUGGGGGGCAACUUCCGGAAAGGAGGCACUUGUUAGCCGGGCAAGCCAAUGCGGGCCGCUAACCAGUCGCCCUCGGGCGGCUGGGGUCCGGAACAUGGCGAGUCAUAACAAUUGAGCUGAUCGCAUGGCCUCGAGCCGGCGACACUCCAUUCAAAUUUCUGCCCUAUCAACUUUCGAUGGUAGGAUAGGGGCCUACCAUGGUUGUAACGGGUAACGGGGAAUUAGGGUUUGAUUCCGGAGAAGGAGCUCGAGAAACGGCUACCACUUCCAAGGAAGGCAGCAGGCGCGCAAAUUACCCACUGGCGACACGCCGAGGUUGUGACAACAAAUAACAAUACAGGUUCCAAUGGGACUUGUAAUUGGAAUGAGUACAAUCUAAACCCCUUAACGAGGAACCACUGGAGGGCAAGUCUGGUGCCAGCAGCCGCGGUAAUUCCAGCUCCAGUAGCGUAUAUUAAAGCUGUUGCGGUUAAAAAGCUCGUAGUUGGAUUUCGGGGCUUUGGGAGACUGGUCAGCGCUAGUCGUUUGCACUGGUCACCUGGUCCCUCUCCUUCUGGAUGCUCGUUGCUGCUCUUAACUGAGUGGCGAUCAAGGGGGUUCUCCUUCGGGGGGGCACCCGGAGUUCCAGAUCAUUUACUUUGAAAAAAUUAGAGUGUUCAAAGCAGGCGGUAUGAGCCUUGAAUACCACAGCAUGGGAUAAUGCCAUAGGACUCUGAUCCUAUUUCGUUGGUUUCUAGGAAACAGAGUAAUGAUUAAUAGGGAUAGUUGGGGUGAUUAAUAUUUAAUUGUCAGAGGUGAAAUUCUUGGAUUUCUGAAAGAUUAACUUCUGCGAAAGCAUUUCACAAGGAUGUUUUCAUUAAUCAAGAACGAAAGUUGGGGGAUCGAAGACGAUCAGAUACCGUCGUAGUCUCAACCUUAAACGAUGCCGACCAGGGAUCGGAUGACGUUACACAGAUGACUCCUCCGGCACCUUGUGAGAAACCACAAGUGUUUGGGCUUCGGGGGGAGUAUGGUCGCAAGGCUGAAACUUAAAGGAAUUGACGGAAGGGCACCACCAGGAGUGGAGCCUGCGGCUUAAUUUGACUCAACACGGGGAAACUUACCAGGUCCAGACAGUAGAAGGAUUGACAGAUUGAGAGCUCUUUCUUGAUUUACUGGGUGGUGGUGCAUGGCCGUUCUUAGUUGGUGGAGUGAUUUGUCUGGUUAAUUCCGUUAACGAACGAGACCUUAACCUGCUAAAUAGUUAUGC
rnacentral:rRNA from 1 species